CAGAGAUGGGGUUUCACCAUGUUGUCCAAGCCGGUCUCUGUGGGCUCAAGUGAUCUGCGUGCCUCAGCCUCCUAAAGUGCUGGAACUACAGAGUUCUUUCUAGCUUUGGUUUUCAUCUGUUUAGAUCUUUUCAUUGGAUUUAGGGCCCACCCAGAUAAUCCAGGAUGAUCUCAUCUAGAGAUGCUUAAUAACAUCUGUAAAGACCCUUUCUCCAAGUAAGUUUUGGAUGUUAGGAUGUGGACCGUAUCUUUUGGGAGGACAUCAUUCAGCCCACUGCAGCCAUCUAAGG
rnacentral:lncRNA from 1 species